rnacentral:rRNA from 1 species
CUCUGUGACUCCUACGGGAGGCAGCAGUGGGGAAUAUUGCACAAUGGGGGAAACCCUGAUGCAGCCAUGCCGCGUGUGUGAAGAAGGCCUUCGGGUUGUAAAGCACUUUCAGUAGGGAGGAAGGUAGUGUAGUUAACACCUGCAUUAUUUGACGUUACCUACAGAAGAAGCACCGGCUAACUCCGUGCCAGCAGCCGCGGUAAUACGGAGGGUGCGAGCGUUAAUCGGAAUUACUGGGCGUAAAGCGCAUGCAGGCGGCCUGUUAAGUCAGAUGUGAAAGCCCGGGGCUUAACCUCGGAAUUGCAUUUGAAACUGGCAGGCUAGAGUCUUGUAGAGGGGGUAGGAAUUUCAGGUGUAGCGGUGAAAUGCGUAGAGAUCUGAAGGAAUACCAGUGGCGAAGGCGGCCCCCUGGACAAAGACUGACGCUCAGAUGCGAAAGCGUGGGGAGCAAACAGGAUUAGAUACCCUGGUAG